rnacentral:misc_RNA from 1 species
GAUGAAGAACGCAGCGAAAUGCGAUAAGUAAUGCGAAUUGCAGAAUUUCCGUGAAUCAUCGAAUCUUUGAACGCACAUUGCGCCCGCCAGCAUUCUGGCGGGCAUGCCUGUUCGAGCGUCAUUUCAACCCUCGACCUCCCUUUGGGGAAGUCGGCGUUGGGGACCGGCAGCACACCGCCGGCCCUGAAAUGGAGUGGCGGCCCGUCCGCGGCGACCUCUGCGUAGUAAACCAACUCGCACCGGAACCCCGACGUGGCCACGCCGUAAAACACCCAACUUCUGAACGUUGACCUCGAAUCAGGUAGGACUACCCGCUGAACUUAAGCAUAUCAAUAAGCGGAGGA